GUGGGGAAUAUUGGGCAAUGGGCGAAAGCCUGACCCAGCAACGCCGCGUGAAGGAAGAAGGCCCUCGGGUUGUAAACUUCUUUUAAGAGGGACGAAAGAAAUGACGGUACCUCUUGAAUAAGCCACGGCUAACUACGUGCCAGCAGCCGCGGUAAUACGUAGGUGGCGAGCGUUAUCCGGAUUUACUGGGUGUAAAGGGCGUGUAGGCGGGAGUGCAAGUCAGAUGUGAAAAUUAUGGGCUCAACCCAUAACCUGCAUUUGAAACUGUUCUUCUUGAGUGAUGGAGAGGCAGGCGGAAUUCCGUGUGUAGCGGUGAAAUGCGUAGAUAUACGGAGGAACACCAGUGGCGAAGGCGGCCUGCUGGACAUUAACUGACGCUGAGGCGCGAAAGCGUGGGGAGCAAACAGGAUUAGAUACCCUUGUAGUCC
rnacentral:rRNA from 1 species